GACAAACGCUGGCGGCGUGCAUAAAACAUGCAAGUCGGACGGUUGGCUUCGGUCGGCCGUGGCAGACGGCUGAGUAACGCGUAGGAACCUGCCCUGGUGUGGGGGACAAGCCAUCGAAAGGUGGUCUAAUACCGCAUACGGUCCUGAUUUUCGGAUUGGGAAGAAAGCCGCAAGGCGCACGAGGAGGGGCCUGCGUCCGAUUAGCUAGUUGGUGGGGUAAGAGCCUACCAAGGCCGUGAUCGGAGCUGGUCUGAGAGGAUGAUCAGCCAGACUGGGACUGGGAGACGGCCCAGACUCCUACGGGAGGCAGCAGUUAGGAAUUUUGGGCAAUGGCCGCAAGGCUGACCCAGCAACGCCGCGU
rnacentral:rRNA from 1 species